rnacentral:rRNA from 1 species
AUUGAACGCUGGCGGCAUGCCUUACACAUGCAAGUCGAACGGUAACAGGUCUUCGGAUGCUGACGAGUGGCGAACGGGUGAGUAAUACAUCGGAACGUGCCUAGUAGUGGGGGAUAACUACUCGAAAGAGUGGCUAAUACCGCAUGAGAUCUACGGAUGAAAGCAGGGGAUCGCAAGACCUUGUGCUACUAGAGCGGCCGAUGGCAGAUUAGGUAGUUGGUGGGAUAAAAGCUUACCAAGCCGACGAUCUGUAGCUGGUCUGAGAGGACGAUCAGCCACACUGGGACUGGGACACGGCCCAGACUCCUACGGGAGGCAGCAGUGGGGAAUUUUGGACAAUGGGCGCAAGCCUGAUUCAGCAAUGCCGCGUGCAGGAUGAAGGCCUUCGGGUUGUAAACUGCUUUUGUACGGAACGAAAAGCCCUGGGUUAAUACCCUGGGGUCAUGACGGUACCGUAAGAAUAAGCACCGGCUAACUACGUGCCAGCAGCCGCCGUAAUAC